rnacentral:hammerhead_ribozyme from 1 species
AUCCAUCUGACGAGUCCGAAAUAAGACGAAACGCGCGUAGUGUAU